CUGGAGAAGAUCUUUUUCAACUUUGGGCAUUUGUAGAAGAUUAAAGUGGUAAGUUGAGCUAGGCUUCCAGUAGGUAUUGAACCCUCCCAGAUGCUUUUCAACAUGGGGAGAUUNNNNNNNAAGGAUUGCAAUACAACAUUCGUUAUCCCAUUGCCGUCAAUAAUGGUUUCCAUUUCAUUGCAACUUUCAAUCAAACAACUCCUCAACUUGUUGAGAUUGUCAACGCCAUAAUCAGAUAGUUUGAGAACUCCUUUAUUUCCAAGUAGCUCAAGUGCAUUGGCUGUAGCAAGUACUUCUUUUAUUGCAGCAUCUAUGCCUUCACCAUUUGCAUAUUUCAAGCACUUGCAGACUUCAUAUUCAAAAU
rnacentral:misc_RNA from 1 species